UACGAAGGGUGCUAGCGUUGUUCGGAAUCACUGGGCGUAAAGCGCGCGUAGGCGGCUAUUCAAGUCAGGGGUGAAAUCCUGGGGCUCAACCCCAGAACUGCCUCUGAAACUGUAUAGCUUGAGUGUCGGAGGGGAUAGCGGAAUUCCUAAUGUAGAGGUGAAAUUCGUAGAUAUUAGGAGGAACACCGGUGGCGAAGGCGGCUAUCUGGACGACAACUGACACUGAGGCGCGAAAGCGUGGGGAUCAAACAGG
rnacentral:rRNA from 1 species